GCUGGCGGUGUGCCUAAUACAUGCAAGUCGUACGCAUUCCCGUUUUUGAUUGAAGGUGCUUGCACCUGAUUGAUAAAACAUCGGAAUGAGUGGCGGACGGGUGAGUAACACGUGGGUAACCUGCCCAGAAGUGGGGGAUAACAUUUGGAAACAGAUGCUAAUACCGCAUAAUAGAUAGAACCACAUGGUUCUAUUUUGAAAGAUGGCCUUUGUGCUAUCACUUCUGGAUGGACCCGCGGUGUAUUAGCUAGUUGGUAAGGUAACGGCUUACCAAGGCAAUGAUACAUAGCCGAACUGAGAGGUUGAUCGGCCACAAUGGGACUGAGACACGGCCCAUACUCCUACGGGAGGCAGCAGUAGGGAAUCUUCCACAAUGGGCGCAAGCCUGAUGGAGCAACACCGCGUGAGUGAAGAAGGGUUUCGGCUCGUAAAACUCUGUUGUUAAAGAAGAACGUAUCUAAGAGUAACUGCUUAGGUAGUGACGGUAUUUAACCAGAAAGCCACGGCU
rnacentral:rRNA from 2 species